rnacentral:rRNA from 1 species
GAUUAACGCUAGCGGCAGGCAUAAUACAUGCAAGUUGAACGGCAGCACAGGUAGCACUACUGGGUGGCGAGUGGCGCACGGGUGCGUAACACGUAUGCAACCUACCCUAUACAGGCGAAUAACCUUUAGAAAUGAGGGCUAAUACGCCGUAGUAUUACAGAUGGGCAUCUAUUUGUAAUUAAAGAUUUAUCUGUAUAGGAUGGGCAUGCGUCCCAUUAGUUAGUUGGUAAGGUAACGGCUUACCAAGACGAUGAUGGGUGGGGGAUCUGAGAGGACUUACCCCCACAAUGGUACUGAGAAACGGACCCGACUCCUACGGGAGGCAGCAGUAAGGAAUAGUGGGAAAGGGACGCGAGGCUGAACCAGCCAUGCCGCGUGCAGGAAGACGGCCUUAUGGGUUGUAAACUGCUUUUAUACGGGAAUAAUAGAGUGUACGCGUACAUUUAUGCAAGUAUCGUAUGAAUAAGCAUCGGCUAACUCCGUG